rnacentral:rRNA from 1 species
AUAUGAAGUCGGGCCUGCCCAGUGAGUUUAUUUAACGGCCGCGGUACCCUGACCGUGCAAAGGUAGCAUAAUACUUGCCUUAUAAUUGAAGGCUGGAAUGAAUGGUUUGACAAGAAUGUAGCUGUCUCAUUAUAAUUUAAUAGAAUUUUAUCUUAGGAUGAAAAAGUCCUAGCUAAAUUAAAAGACAAGAAGACCCUAUCGAGCUUGAAAUUAAUUAGUAAGAAAUUAAUACUUAUGAAAAUUGUUAUUAAAAAUUUUGGUUGGGGCAACUAAGGAGCAAAAAGAGCCUCUUUUUAAAAAUUAUACAUACUAGUAAAGAUCCAAUAGUUUUGAUCAAAGAAAAUAGUUACCGUAGGGAUAACAGCAUUAUCUUUUUUGAGAGCCCUUAUCGAAAAAAAGGUUUGUGACCUCGAUGUUGGACCAGAAUAUCCUAAAGAUGCAGGAGUCUUU